GACGAACGCUGGCGGCGUGCCUAAUACAUGCAAGUUGAGCGCUGAAGGUUGGUACUUGUCCCGACUGGAUGAGCAGCGAACGGGUGAGUAACGCGUGGGGAAUCUGCCUUUGAGCGGGGGACAACAUUUGGAAACGAAUGCUAAUACCGCAUAAAAACUUUAAACACAAGUUUUAAGUUUGAAAGAUGCAAUUGCAUCACUCAAAGAUGAUCCCGCGUUGUAUUAGCUAGUUGGUGAGGUAAAGGCUCACCAAGGCGAUGAUACAUAGCCGACCUGAGAGGGUGAUCGGCCACAUUGGGACUGAGACACGGCCCAAACUCCUACGGGAGGCAGCAGUAGGGAAUCUUCGGCAAUGGACGAAAGUCUGACCGAGCAACGCCGCGUGAGUGAAGAAGGUUUUCGGAUCGUAAAACUCUGUUGGUAGAGAAGAACGUCGGUGAGAGUGGAAAGCUCAUCAAGUGACGGUAACUACCCAGAAAGGGACGGCUAACUACGUG
rnacentral:rRNA from 1 species